AUGAUUGGGGAAUUGCUGACUUGUACUACAAGAGAAAAUAUGAAGCUACUUUUCAAACUGCUUGUUAUUCAUCAAGUCCACAUACAAAGCAUUCAUCAAAGUUUGAGCACACUUCAUAAAGACAUUCAUGAACGAGGACUUCCAAAACUGCUCCAGAACGUGCUUUUUAAAGUGAUGCAUCAUCAAAACAUCGUGUUUUCUUAUAAGCUUCAAGAAAAGGAAGGUUAAAAAAAAAAUCUCAUGACCUUCUCUACAAUUGGCCGAAAUUUUCAUGCUUUUCACUCAGUCUCCAUUAGUCGAAAGUGGUUUUAGCUAGCUGUACUCAAGCAUUUCAGUCAAUUACUAGCUUUUAUCUUGUUGUUAUCAUAAAGGGCCAUUUCUUUCCUAAAAUGGUCAAUUAAGUUCAUAAAAUAAAUGUUGAGGCAUAUAAAAUUUGUUAGCUGUACUGUCGGGAGUACACUGGUCUUGGGGAAAAACAUUUCAGAGUAUUUCUUAAUGAAUAGAAAUAGCUUUCAUCCCACAAGAUGUUUGUUCGCAUUUCUCUUUUCUCUGGCUUCAAUUCUGUUAACAACACAGUAAUUGUGUAUUGGAAAGCUCUUAAAAUACCCACCUCCUACUUUUAAAAGAAUCCUCUGUUUUUGCUUAACUAUUCCAUUUGUGUAAAGUGCAUUUUGAAAUAAAUUGAGGUAGGAGGUUUUACCUUGAAAACAACAGAAAAAGAUUCAUUUUUAAAAUUUUGACAAUAACUUUAAGGAAUAAAGAUUUGGAGUAACUUAAACAGAAUGGUAAAUUGAGAAUUGUUACAUAGAAGUGGAGAAUUCAUGAAAUACAGGAGAAAGUGAGGGGAAGCAGAUGCCUACAAGACAUCAGGCUCACAGUGCUACCUUCGUUGAACAUCUUUUGAUUAAUUGCUGCUUUUGUUCUUUUUUUUUUUUUGGUAUUGGGGAUCAAACUCUGGUCCUUGCGCUUACGAGGCAGGCCACCGAACCGCUGAGCUCAAUCCCCGGCCCUCUGCUUUUGUUCUUAAGUAAAAGGCAUUUACUAUGUGUCACACUGCAGGAGCAAUUGAUAUUCUAGUGCUAACAGGAACAACAAAUUAAAUCAUGUAGUAUAACAUCUUCUAGUCUUGCCAGGGAUAUGCAGUCCAUAAAGGUGAAAUUUGAAUAGUGUUUUUCUGAAUUAUGUGCUAGAAAUGGAUAGUUGGAAGUAACUCCUUCUAGGAAAAAAAAAUGUAGUUUUAUGCAUGCUUCCUAUAGUGCUGCAAAUAAAGAUCCACAGAUAUUUUAGGAGGAAAAACUGUGACUUAAGUUUCCAUUCUCUCAGUAACCACAUCCAACGGAGUAGCAAAAAAAUGUUACUGAGUAAAGCUACUGCAACCAACUAGUUUUUAUUUCUCACUUUGCAUUUAAAAUCUCUGUUAGAAUAUUGAUGAACCAAGAUGACAUUUAAAUUCGGGUUACCUAGGCCAAGAGACAUACAUUUUUCUUCAAACAAUAGUUUGACUACCACUGAAGGUAUUUUUCUGAUGAGAUUAGCGUAUGACAGAAGACUGAAAGAAGCAGAUUACUCUCCAUGUGGUGGGCCUCAUCCAAUCAGUUGAAGGCCUUGGGGGCAGUAGGAUCAAUAUUAAGAAAAGGCA
ensembl:lincRNA